ACACGGUGGAUGCCCUGGCAGUCAGAGGCGAUGAAGGGCGUACUAAUCUGCGAUAAGCGCCGGUAAGGUGAUAUGAACCGUUAUAACCGGCGAUACCCGAAUGGGGAAACCCAGUGUGAUUCGUCACACUAUCAUUAACUGAAUCCAUAGGUUAAUGAGGCGAACCGGGGGAACUGAAACAUCUAAGUACCCCGAGGAAAAGAAAUCAACCGAGAUUCCCCCAGUAGCGGCGAGCGAACGGGGAGGAGCCCAGAGCCUGAAUCAGCAUGUGUGUUAGUGGAAGCGUCUGGAAAGGCGCGCGAUACAGGGUGACAGCCCCGUACACAAAAGCGCAUGUGCUGUGAGCUCGAUGAGUAGGGCGGGACACGUGGUAUCCUGUCUGAAUAUGGGGGGACCAUCCUCCAAGGCUAAAUACUCCUGACUGACCGAUAGUGAACCAGUACCGUGAGGGAAAGGCGAAAAGAACCCCGGCGAGGGGAGUGAAAAAGAACCUGAAACCGUGUACGUACAAGCAGUGGGAGCACCCUUUGGGUGUGACUGCGUACCUUUUGUAUAAUGGGUCAGCGACUUAUAUUCUGUAGCAAGGUUAACCGAAUAGGGGAGCCGGAGGGAAACCGAGUCUUAACCGGGCGUUAAGUUGCAGGGUAUAGACCCGAAACCCGGUGAUCUAGCCAUGGGCAGGUUGAAGGUUGGGUAACACUAACUGGAGGACCGAACCGACUAAUGUUGAAAAAUUAGCGGAUGACCUGUGGCUGGGGGUGAAAGGCCAAUCAAACCGGGAGAUAGCUGGUUCUCCCCGAAAGCUAUUUAGGUAGCGCCUCGUGAAUUCAUCUCCGGGGGUAGAGCACUGUUUCGGCUAGGGGGCCAUCCCGGCUUACCAACCCGAUGCAAACUGCGAAUACCGGAGAAUGUUAUCACGGGAGACACACGGCGGGUGCUAACGUCCGUCGUGAAGAGGGAAACAACCCAGACCGCCAGCUAAGGUCCCAAAGUCAUGGUUAAGUGGGAAACGAUGUGGGAAGGCCCAGACAGCCAGGAUGUUGGCUUAGAAGCAGCCAUCAUUUAAAGAAAGCGUAAUAGCUCACUGGUCGAGUCGGCCUGCGCGGAAGAUGUAACGGGGCUAAACCAUG
rnacentral:rRNA from 1 species